GGGGAUUUAGCUCAGUGGUAGAGCGCUUGCUUAGCAACUGCAAGGUCCUGGGUUCGGUCCCCAGCUCCG
rfam:Rattus norvegicus chromosome 1, whole genome shotgun sequence.